rnacentral:misc_RNA from 1 species
GAUGAAGAACGUAGUGAAAUGCGAUAAGUAAUGUGAAUUGCAGAAUUCAGUGAACCAUCGAAUCUUUGAACGCACAUUGCGCCCGGCAGUAAUCUGCCGGGCAUGCCUGUCCGAGCGUCAUUUCUACCCUCGAGCGUGUCCAGCAUCUAGGUGCUGGGCCUCGCCCGGCGUUGGAGCACUACGGGAAGCCCUGUGCUGUCCCCCGUAGGCCCCGAAAUGAAGUGGCGGUCCUGCCGCGGCGCCCCCUGCGUAGUAUAACAGCUCGCUUCGGGACCCGGUGGAGGCCUGCCGUCAAACCUAUACUCUCUAAGUUUGACCUCGGAUCAGGUAGGGUUACCCGCUGAACUUAAGCAUAUCAAUAAGCGGAGGA